GUGCUCGCUUUGAAGGCACAUAAACUAAAAUUGGAACGAUACAGAGAAGAUCAGAAUGGCCCCUUAGGGUAAGAAUAUUUCUUACUCUAAGUGGCCUUGAUCUGU